rnacentral:rRNA from 1 species
AGUGAACGCUGGCGGUAGGCCUAACACAUGCAAGUCGAACGGCAGCACAGUAAGAGCUUGCUCUUACGGGUGGCGAGUGGCGGACGGGUGAGGAAUACAUCGGAAUCUACUUUUUCGUGGGGGAUAACGUAGGGAAACUUACGCUAAUACCGCAUACGAACUACGGGUGAAAGCAUGGGAUCUUCGGACCUUGCGCGAUUGAAUGAGCCGAUGUCGGAUUAGCUAGUUGGCGGGGUAAAGGCCCACCAAGGCGACGAUCCGUAGCUGGUCUGAGAGGAUGAUCAGCCACACUGGAACUGAGACACGGUCCAGACUCCUACGGGAGGCAGCAGUGGGGAAUAUUGGACAAUGGGCGCAAGCCUGAUCCAGCCAUACCGCGUGGGUGAAGAAGGCCUUCGGGUUGUAAAGCCCUUUUGUUGGGAAAGAAAAGCAGCAGGUUAAUACCCCGCUGUUCUGACGGUACCCAAAGAAUAAGCACCGGCUAACUUCGUG